rnacentral:rRNA from 1 species
CCUACGGGUGGCAGCAGUGAGGAAUAUUGGUCAAUGGGCGGGAGCCUGAACCAGCCAAGUCGCGUGAGGGAAGACGGUCCUAUGGAUUGUAAACCUCUUUAGGCGGGGAGCAAUGCCGGGCACGCGUGCCCGGAGGGAGAGUACCCGCAGAAUAAGCAUCGGCUAACUCCGUGCAAGCAGCCGCGGUAAGAAGGAGGAUGCGAGCGUUAGCCGGAUUUAUUGGGUUUAAAGGGUGCGUAGGCGGAUUUUUAAGUAAGCGGUAAAAUGUCCCGGCUCAACCCGGGCCGGGCGGUUGAAACUGGGAGUCUUGAGUGGGCUAGAAGUAGGCGGAAUGCGUGGUGUAGCGGUGAAAUGCAUAGAUAUCACGAAGAACUCCGAUUGCGAAGGCAGCAUACCGGCGCCCGACUGACGUUGAGGCACGAAAGCGUGGGGAUCGAACAGGAUUAGAUACCCUAGUAGUC